rnacentral:ncRNA from 2 species
AAAUAUAUAUAAAUGUUCACUUGUAUAAAUCUGGCAAUAUGGGCUAGAUGUUUCUAUCUAACUACCGUAAAUAGUUGCGGACUAUAAGUGUUCUAUACUUAUUA